AUAUUGCACAAUGGGGGAAACCCUGAUGCAGCGAUGCCGCGUGGAGGAAGAAGGUUUUCGGAUUGUAAACUCCUUUUAUCAGGGACGAUAAUGACGGUACCUGAAGACAAAGCUCCGGCUAACUACAUGCCAGCAGCCGAGGUAAUACGUAGGGAGCGAGCGUUGUCCGGAAUUACUGGGUGUAAAGGGAGCGUAGGCGGGACGGCAAGUCAGAUGUGAAAACUGAGGGCUCAACCUUCAGACUGCAUUUGAAACUGCUGUUCUUGAGUGAAGUAGAGGUAAGCGGAAUUCCUAGUGUAGCGGUGAAAUGCGUAGAUAUUAGGAGGAACAUCGGUGGCGAAGGCGGCUUACUGGGCUUUUACUGACGCUGAGGCUCGAAAGCGUGGGGAGCAAAC
rnacentral:rRNA from 1 species